rnacentral:lncRNA from 1 species
UCCCGCGCAUGCUCUAUGGGGUAGAGACGCUAGGCCGGCACUGCCUAGGUGGGCCGGGCGGUGCGAGGGUCGCCUUUCAGCCUUUACCUCUACCCACUGAAAUGGAGUAGGUCGGUGAGCGCCGAUCUGCUGGAGAAUCUCAUUAUCCCAUCGGCGCUCUGCCUGCUCCUGGCCUCCAAGCCUCUGAAGCCCCUCGGGUUUCAGCUGCCGGCUACCCUCGAGCCCGUGGUGCCCACGAGAGAGGCGACUUUACGUCAGCGGCCCUGGGCUGAGAUUUGAGAACGCGACCAAGUGGAGAAUGUUGGAGCCAGAUUUUAAAAUCCUUGUCUUCCUUCUGCGUGCUACUUGAUCUAAAUGAGAUACGGCAAAGUCACAGAACCUGUUUUUAUGUUUUUGCCUGAUUCAUACGGGCUUCUCCGGUGAAGAUGGGCCUGAAGUAACGCUUGGGUUGCUUCUGACGUUAUAACUCAUCCUGUAGCUGCAGCAACCGUGGUCCUUGCAACCUCAUAAAAAUGUUGCCAGCAUUGUUUCGAUAGUGCUGCUUAAUUCUUGGAAGGCCUCUUUGCUUUCUUCCCUGAGGUUCUUCGGACUUCACACAUUCCAGCAGUAGCUCUCUCAGCUCCUGUCCUGCACAGCUUUGAAGUGCUGGUGAUGUCAUUGAACUCUUAAGUGCAAGAUGAAACAAGUCUUUCUGGGGUUCUAAGUAGGACACAGCCCUGGUGAUGGCUUUCUGAGGAUGACACGAUGGAGGCUUCUCCAAUAGCUCUAAAACUGCGGUGUGGAAAACAUUCGGCAGCCUCAAAGAGCGGUCUUGUUGACCCCAACUAUAUCAUUUUUCAUCAAAAUCAUUCUUGUAAAGAAUGACCAGGCAACACUCUUUGAAAAUUGGAGGCCAUUUGCAGCUGCUCUCUGUUGAGGAAAGUGAAUAAUAGGGUGCCCUCAAGGAAUUGCAAAGGUAUCACUCAACAGAAACUUUCGUGUCUGAAGAAAACUAGAUCAUUUUAUCAUGGUAGGCAUGCUGAUAUGUUUGCUUUAAUAAAAUGCCAUAUUUCUGCCUUUAAUCUCUUGUCAACCCGCUAUUAAAAAGCCCCAAAGUGCAUGUGUGCAGCGCAUGUAAACACUUGUGGUUUUGAGGUUACCACAGAACAUACUAAUAAAGCAUGUAAUUUGUGUUUUGUGCACA